UACGAAGGGGGCUAGCGUUGUUCGGAAUUACUGGGCGUAAAGCGCGCGUAGGCGGCUUUGCAAGUCGGGUGUGAAAUCCCACGGCUCAACCAUGGAAAGUGCACUUGAAACUGCAGGGCUAGAGUCCUGGAGAGGAAGGUGGAAUGCUUGGUGUAGAGGUGAAAUUCGUAGAUACCAAGCGGAACACCGGUGGCGAAGGGCGGCCUUCUGGACAGUGACUGACGCUGAGACGGCGAAAGCGUGGGAGCAAACAGG
rnacentral:rRNA from 1 species